rnacentral:rRNA from 1 species
GCAGGGCGCGUACUAUAAUGCAGUCGAGCGAAUGGAUUAAGAGCUUGCUCUUAUGAAGUUAGCGGCGGACGGGUGAGUAACACGUGGGUAACCUGCCCAUAAGACUGGGAUAACUCCGGGAAACCGGGGCUAAUACCGGAUAACAUUUUGAACCGCAUGGUUCGAAAUUGAAAGGCGGCUUCGGCUGUCACUUAUGGAUGGACCCGCGUCGCAUUAGCUAGUUGGUGAGGUAACGGCUCACCAAGGCAACGAUGCGUAGCCGACCUGAGAGGGUGAUCGGCCACACUGGGACUGAGACACGGCCCAGACUCCUACGGGAGGCAGCAGUAGGGAAUCUUCCGCAAUGGACGAAAGUCUGACGGAGCAACGCCGCGUGAGUGAUGAAGGCUUUCGGGUCGUAAAACUCUGUUGUUAGGGAAGAACAAGUGCUAGUUGAAUAAGCUGGCACCUUGACGGUACCUAACCAGAAAGCCACGGCUAACUACGUGCCAGCAGCCGCGGUAAUACGUAGGUGGCAAGCGUUAUCCGGAAUUAUUGGGCGUAAAGCGCGCGCAGGUGGUUUCUUAAGUCUGAUGUGAAAGCCCACGGCUCAACCGUGGAGGGUCAUUGGAAACUGGGAGACUUGAGUGCAGAAGAGGAAAGUGGAAUUCCAUGUGUAGCGGUGAAAUGCGUAGAGAUAUGGAGGAACACCAGUGGCGAAGGCGACUUUCUGGUCUGUAACUGACACUGAGGCGCGAAAGCGUGGGGAGCAAACAGGAUUAGUCCCC